CAUAAUGGGGAUAUACCCAGCUGGGAAUGACUUGCCGGUUACAUAUGCUCUUACUGGGUAAAUAUAAAGCCUAUAACAUCAUCUUGUCAUUAUUAACCCAAUGUCAUUUCCAAUGGGGCAUUUGUU